GGGAAUGUAGCUCAAUGGCAGAGCACAUGCUUAGCAUGCAUGCUGUUCCCA
rnacentral:tRNA from 1 species